rnacentral:rRNA from 1 species
UACGUAGGGGUCUAGCGUUGUCCGGAAUUAUUGGGCGUAAAGAGCUCGUAGGCGGUUCGGCAAGUCGGAUGUGAAAUCUCCACGCUUAACGUGGAGGGGCCAUUCGAAACUGCCGUGACUCGAGUCCGGUAGGGGAGUUCGGAAUUCCCGGUGGUAGCGGUGAAAUGCGCAGAGAUGUGGAGGAAUACCGAUGGCGAAGGCAGCCCCCUGGGCCCAAUACUGACGCUCAUGCACGAAAGACGUGGGGAGC